GAAGAUGCCUGGUAAUGGGCUGAAGUUGGAGAAUCUGAAUCUGGACAGUAGAAACAAAAAGGAAUUGCUGAAGCAGAUAGGGUUGGACUACUGUAUAGAGCUGGCCGAACAUGUCAAAGACAGGAAUGAGUUAGUAAGGCAGGCCCAAAUGAAUUACAGUAGCCUAAACCACUUAAAUCCAGCUUCUAGCCCACUUAUACACUCUUAUGCAGCCCUUUUCAUACUCAAUUAACCUACGUAAUCCACCCUAAAAACCAUCACAUUAUUCUCGUUUUUAGCCUCGAUCUGCUGCAAUUGGGAAAACGGUUAUUUCACUGGUGGAGGGAGAAGAUUAAAAUCGAGCAUCACAGAGAAGAUGCACACAGCUUUCUGGAAAUUUCAGUCAAAAUCAAUAAAGCGGGAGACAGCACAGUUGGACGGAGUAGCCAGGAGGAUUCAGGAAGAAUGGAGAACCGGUUGGGCCAUGAGAAAUCUACCAUCAGAGAAAAUCGGAGAUUUAUGAAAAUCAUAUCAGCGCCGUGGUCGGUGAUAUCAGAUGGAGUACUGGGGAAAAAUCUCGUCUUUGGGCUGAGUUCGUUGGAUAAGGAUGAGGUCUCCAGUGAUAAAGAAAUUCCAGCCUCGAAGCAUUCGGAAUUGGGGGGCUCAGAGACAGCCAUGAAAGAACACCAAUGUCAACCUUUCGAGGCUCCACUGUCAUCGUCAGAAGGGAAGUCAGAACACUACGUGGAGGGGUUCUGAAUGCAUGAUAUGGAGACCACGAUGAAGAAAUGGGAAGGGACUGGGCUUGAAAUUAAGGCUGACUUUCAUAGAAAAAAACCUAUGGGCUAUGAUUUGAGGUUGGGCCAAGAAGUUGAAGAUCAAAAUGAAUCCUCGAGGCAGGUCCCAUGUCCAGAUAAGAAUGAAUUAGUGAGAAUGGCCCAAAUGAAGCAGGCCCAGUUAAACUUUGGCCCAUCUAGAUCUAAAAUUAAUGUAGAUAACCCAAGCCCACAACUCCUUUAUUUCCCAGUCGACACACACAACCCGCCUGUUAAUCAAAGUUCAUCUUCAGUUUCAAUCCCAAGAUCAGUUUUCAUUACUCCAAAAUUCGAUAAACCAAAGCAAUCACAACCACCAAAUCAACUUACUGUUUUAGAGCUUCGAAAGAGGAGGGAAAAUGGUUUAUGCCUUCAUUGUGACGAGGAAAAGCCAGUGGACAAUAAUUUUGAAAAUCAGGGGUUACAGGUGUUGGUGGUAAUUGAUGAUUUAGAGGAAGUAUGCUUCACAGAGGUGGAAAAAGGGGAUGGGAAAAAAAAUGGAGCUUCCGAGGAUGAAGUUUCGGGGGUAGAUUGGUCAUGACCGUAUGAUAUUAUAAACCGAUGGUGCAGCCAUUUAUAAUGUGUUUACAACUCAUCGGGUUCAAAAAUUGGAAAGCUAGCAAAGGGGUGCUACCGGUUAUGGGAUUUGCAUGAAUAACAUUCUAAAUGUUGGCAGUCGGCACAAGAACUUCUUAAUGGCAUGUGGACUAAAAUAUCGCAUUUCGGCAUUUGGCAUGGUGGGAGUUCUAAUCAAAGAAAUGAUGCAGUAACAUAAAAUUCCGAAUUUUAAAGUUGAAUCACACUUCCACCUUGAGGACAAGGUGGAUGUUGGGGCAGGGGGUAAUGAUAGACCCUCACCUCAAAUAUUCCAAUACAAGUUGUUAUUAGUUCACUAUUCUAGAGAAUUCCAUAGUUAGUUGGCAAAAGGGUAGAAUUGUAAUAACAAACUAGUAAAUUCUCUAUAAAUGUUUGAAUAAACAGUAUAGUAAUUCCUUGUUCACAACCCAUCAUUCCCAGCUAAUUCAUACUGCUUAUUUCGUCAAUUACAUCUGCACUUUCCAUUACAUAAAUCAGCCACCAUAUUGACUACCUAACUAGAUCCAGUAAUCACCCACAACACGGGUUCAUCAACAGCUUCACAGGUCCAGAUCAUCGACUCUAUUAAUCAGCAACAGAAUUCAACAGAAGCAAUCAGGAUCCUAUCAGAUUGCUACCCUUUGGCAGCAUUUUCAUUGAGAUUUAUUUCGUUUUCACCUCCUUCUGGAAUUACAAGGCCUCAUUACUAGGAUCGGCUUCCAUGGUGUCCAAGUCAAAGAAAAAUUGGGUGCCAGCAACUAUUUAUAGAGCUGUGUAUUCAUGGUUGAUGGUUGUACCACCAGAAUCUCCAUGAUGUAAUUGGAUCGAGCACUAUGUACAAGUUGACAAUCUAAUAAUUUUGCUGGCAGACUCCAAAGAAACAAUAGAGUCAGUUUCAUUCUAGCUUAGGUAAUGCAUGGUGAAAUAAGAGUGCUUAAGUACUCAUUUUCUGUCCUUUGUUUUCUUAUUGGUGAGGAGAUCAGUGAGUAGUGGUGAAUGGCGUGACCAAUUUAAAGAGGAAGAGAACAAUGAUAAGGACAUGAACCAAUCUGUCCAAAAAUAAAGAAGCUCUGUGAGAACUGUUUUCUGUUGUGAAAGUUAUAUAUUGGCUUCAUUGUAUGGUUAGGGUUAUCUCUAAAAUUCAUUAGUGCUCUAUUCCUCUUCCAUCCCCUUUUGUAGUAAUUCAAAUUUUUGCAGAAGGCCUGUUUUCUUUCUUUCUUUUCCUUUUAAACAAACGGAGGACCUGUUGUAAAGGUCUCAAAAGGGCAAUCUUGUUUAAUUUUUUUACCAUAAUGAGAAAAGAUGGUAUAUUCAUAAUUUGAUGUAUUGGAUAAACCAUUUCUUCUGUUGCUUCUUGUUUUUGGCAGGUGUACUAUGUCUAUGGCUUUAUGCUUCUGGUGUUCCUAAUUCUUGUCGUUACUGUCUGUGUCACAAUUGUUGGAAUAUAUUUCCUGCUAAAUGCUGAGAAUUAUCAAUGGCAAUGGACUCCCUUCUUCUCGGCAUUCUCAACGGCCUUCUAUGUGUACUUGUACUUAAUAUAUUACUACUACUUGAAGACAUAGAUGUCCGGGGUUUUCCAGACUAGCUUCUACUUUGGAUAUACACUGAUGUUUUGUCUUGGUCUAGGAAUCCUCUGUGGUGAGUAAAAAUUAUGACCAAUUGUUUUAUUGAAGUUACUUUUGCUGGCUC